rnacentral:rRNA from 1 species
CACGGGGGGAGCAAGCGUUGUUCGGAAUCACUGGGCGUAAAGGGCGUGUAGGCGGUUUGGUAAGUGGGAUGUGAAAUGCCUCGGCUCACCCGAGGACCGGCAUCCCAAACUGCCAAGCUUGAGUAUGGGAGAGGAUGUGGGAAUUCCUGGUGUAGCGGUGAAAUGCGUAGAUAUCUGGAGGAACACCGGUGGCGAAGGCGGCAUUCUGGACCGACAUUGACGCUGAGGAGCGAAAGCCAGGGGAGCAAACGGG